GAGCUGUUAGUUAAUCAUAUAACAUAGGGUUGUCAAUCCUAAAUAGUGACCUAAUCACACACCUCU
rnacentral:tRNA from 1 species